rnacentral:rRNA from 1 species
UACGUAGGGGGCGAGCGUUGUCCGGAUUCAUUGGGCGUAAAGAGCUCGUAGGCGGUUUGGCAAGUCGGGUGUGAAAUCUCUGGGCUCAACUCAGAGAGGCCACUCGAGACUGCUAUGACUAGAGUCCGGUAGGGGACCAUGGAAUUCCUGGUGUAGCGGUGAAAUGCGCAGAUAUCAGGAGGAACACCUAUUGCGAAGGCAGCUCGCUGGGACGUCACUGACGCUGAGACGCGAAAGCGUGGGGAGCAAACAGG